ensembl:antisense 1700071G01Rik RIKEN cDNA 1700071G01 gene
AGGACGGUCCGAGAGGGUCAAAGAGUGAGCAGUAAGACCCUUCAGCUAGCGCACGGCAGGGCAGACUGCCAAGUCUUGAUAGCGCAAGGGUGCGCAGAUGUUGGCAUAGAACAACACCUACUACCGGAAGCUGCAGACAACCUGCGAAACCUGUCCAAGAGAUAAGCCCUACGCAAUGAGUUUCUGCUUUACCAUGUGACGCUAACAGAGGCCUAGAAACAGUGGGCUAAUCCAGCCAUGCUCUAGGAACCAUAACAAACCCUUUCUCUUUAUAAGAAAUUGGCUCGGGCAUUACGAUGAAAAGCUGUGCAACACAGGUUUUGAGGCAUAAAACCGAUUUCUAUUAAAUGUAGAAACAAAAUGAAGG